AAAGAAUUAGUUAAAUCAUAACAUUAAAUUGUCAUUUUAAAAUUAUUAUAAAUAAUACUCUUU
rnacentral:tRNA from 1 species